AUUGAACGCUGGCGGCAGGCCUAACACAUGCAAGUCGAACGAGUGGCGGACGGGUGAGUAAUGUAUGGGAAACUGCCCGAUGGAGGGGGAUAACUACUGUAAACGGUAGCUAAUACCGCAUACCCUCGGAUGAGCCCAGAUGGGAUUAGCUAGUAGGUGGGGUAAUGGCUCACCUAGGCGUCGAUCCCUAGCUGGUCUGGGAGGAUGACCAGCCACACUGGAACUGAGAAAAGGUCCAGACUCCUACGGGGGGCAGCAGUGGGGAAUAUUGCACAAUGGGCGCAAGCCUGAUGCAGCCAUGCCGCGUGUAUGAAGAAGGCCUUCGGGUUGUAAAGUACUUUCAGCGAGGAGGCGUUACUCGCAGAAGAAGCACCGGCUAACUCCGUGCCAGCCGCCGCGGUAAUAC
rnacentral:rRNA from 1 species